CCUAUGGUGGAGGAUAACCCCGGGAAACUGGGGAUAAUACUCCAUAAGUCAGGAGUACUGGAAUGUCUCCUAACUGAAAGUUGCGGCGCCAUAGGAUGAAUCUGCGGCCGAUUAGGUAGUUGUUGGGGUAACGGCUUUUUUUUUGUGUAAUCGGUACGGGUUGUGGGAGCAAGAGCCCGGAGAUGGAAUCUGAGACACGAUUCUUGUCCACAAAAACCCCACAGCAGGCGCGAAAACUUUACAAUGCAGGAAAUCUUUUCUUUUUGGAACCCCGGGUGCCCGUACCCCCCCGCCUGUCCCGGUGUUUAAAACACAUCGGAAGAAAGGGCCGGGCAAGACCGGUGCUAGUCGCCGCGGUAAUACCGGCGGCUCGAGUGGUGACCACUUUUAUUGGCUUAAAGCGUUCGUAGCUUGAUUUUAAGUCUCUUGGGAAUCUCCGGCUUAACUGUGAGCGUCUAAAAAUCUUGGAAUCUAGGGACCGGAGAGUAGAGGUCUUUAGGGUAGAAGUGAAUUUCUGUAUCUUUGAGGACACGAUGCGAAGGAUCUACCAGACGGUUCACGUGAGACGAAAGCUGUGUACGACGAUAGAUCCGUAUCCAGCGAACUAUGCGUAGGCGAACCAGAUACAGAUGCAGUACUGACUGUCC
rnacentral:rRNA from 1 species